GGCGCGCGUCAGAUGGGUCUCUUGCUUUUGCCGAGUUCUCCCUGCAGGGGGCGGUAGAUUCCAAGAGAAUGAAGGGCUCCGCAUUGCCAACGAGAUGGCGGCUAUUCUGAAGAACCGCAGUUUAGCAUAAAUACAGGGUUGCCUCUGCUAGGCCUGCUGCUAGUGUUGGCGCCAACUCCAAACUCUCCACAGCCUGUGUAACUUUAACACAAAGAUACUGCAAAGCUUGGAGAGCCAGUCUAAUAGAUCUUCUGAGGAGAUAAAAAGACCAUUGGAAGAAUGUCACCUCCAGCAUUUUUGCAGCAACAAAAACAUGCUAUACAGAGCAAUCUCAUACUUAACAACUCAGAAGUCCCAGCAACUGAAAUGCAGUUUACUCCCAAAUGGAUGGAUCUGUCAAUUUCAGUUCGCUCGAUUUCUUCUUUUUCCAAUCUUCAAUUCAGUCCUCCACAUUUCUGCAACAAUUUGCAUUUAAAAAAUUCUUCAAGAAAAUACAGCAGCAUUUGUGCACAUUUCUCCCAAUAAACACCUUUUUGUAUUCAGGUUUUACAUUUAUGCAAGCAAUUCUCCCUACUGCAAUGCACUUUUGUAUGAUAUUUCCAGUAAUGCGUUCACUUUAAUAGCCUUUCCCAAUAGAUUCAUUUUUGUAAACAGUGUUUGGUUGGAGAAUGUCAUUGCAAAAUUGAAUAAUUAUGAACUUCAAAGGAUGGCUGUGGUUUG